GGAGCCAGCAAUGGCAACCCCCUUUGUGUCCCCUCCCCUUGUAUGGGAGCUCUGUUUUCACUCUUUUCACUCUAUUAAAUCUUGCAACUGCACUCUUCUGGUCCAUGUUUGUUAGGGCUGGAGCUGAGCUUUUGCUCGCUGUCCACCACUGCUGUUUUGCCGCCCUCACAGACCCUCUGCUGACUUCCAUCCCUCUGGAUCCUGCAGGUUGUCGGCUGUGCUCCUGAUCCAGGGAGCACACUCCUGAUCGGGCUAAAGGCUUGCCAUUGUUCCUGCAUGGCUAAGUGCCUGGGUUUGUCCUAAUCGUGCUGAACACUAGUCACUGGGUUCCACGGUUCUCUUCUGUGACCCACGGCUUCUAAUAGAGCUAUGACACUCACUGCAUGGCCCAAGAUUCCAUUCCUUGGAAUCUGUGAGGCCAAGAACCCCAGGUCAGAGAACAAGAGGCUUGCCACCAUCUUGGAAGCAGCCCGCCACCAUCUUGGAAGUGGCUCGCCACCAUUUGGAAGCUCUGUGAGCAAGGACCCCCGGUAACAUCUGCAAGGUUGUCAAUCAUGCCUAUGUAAUGAAGCCUCCAUAAAAACCCAAGAGGACCGGGUUUGGAUGAACUUGUGGACAGCUGAAUACCUGGAAGUUCCUGGAGAGUGGCACACCCAGGGAGGGCAUGGAAGCUCUGCAUCCCCUUUCCCAUACAUCGCCCUGUGCAUCUUUUCAUCUAUAUCCUUUAUAAUAAACCAGUAACGGUAAGUAAAUGUUGCCCUGAGUUCUGUGAGGCAACUAGCAAAUUAACCAAACCCAAAGAGGGGGUCAUGGGAACCCCAAUUUGAAGCUGGUCAGUCAGAAGGUAAGGAGGCCCAGAUUUACAAUGGACUGGGGACAGUUUUGAAGACUGAGCCCUCAUUCUGUGGGAUUUGAUGCUGUCUCCAGGUAGACAGUGUCAGAAUUUAACUAGAUGGCGCGUAGCUGCUGUCUGCUGUGUUGAUUGUUGUGUGGGAGCAGAGGAAAAACAUGGUUUGAGAGCUUUUCCCUAGGCUUCCAAUACCCUCAGGUGGGUGUCAGGAGCAUUCCUUUUCCUUUUGUGUUUGGCUCAUACCUCUUCCAUCUUUUCUCCAGUAAACUCUGGGAGUGUGGUUAGUUUCCAGCACAGCUUCCUUCCUAGGUUGCUAGCUUGCUUGCUUGCUUGCUUGCUUGCUUGUUUCCUUCCUUCCUUCCUUCUCUCUUUCUUCCCUCCCUCCCUCCCUCCCUUCCUUCUUUCCUUUUUUUAAAAUUUAUUAUUAUUAUCUUGAGACAGAGUCUUGCUCUGUCGCCCAGGCUGGAGUGCAAUGGCACCAUCUCAGCUCACUGCAACCUCCACCUCCCAGGCUCAAGCGAUUCUCAGGUCUUGGCUUCCUGAGUAGCUGGGGUUACAGGCACGCACCACCAUGCCCAGCUAAUUUUUGUGCUUCCAGUAGAGAUGGGGUUUCGCCAUGUUGUCCAGGCUGGUCUCCAACUGCUGACCUCAAGUGAUCUGCCCACCUUGGCCUCCCAAAGUCCCGGGAUUACAGGUGAGAGCCACCACGCCAGACCCUACAGCCUUUUUUCUUGUGCCGCCACUAGAGCAGGGAGCCAGAAACAGUCUCUCUCUUAGGCUCCUUCAGUCAUGAGCCUCCAGUGUUCACAGCUCAAGAUCUAGCGUGGUCCCACCAAAGCCUCUCACCUUGGCCUGGAUGUGAGAGAAAAGCACCCAUUCUCGUUCCCCACAGGAGGGGAUAUAAUGCCAUAAUACUGAAUAUUUUUCCAAAGACAUUUCUGCUCCAAGCUUCUUCAAUUCAACAAUUCUAUGAGAUAUGAGGUAAGUAUAGAUCUAUGGGUUAUUAAAAACAGUCUUUCCUGUGCCAAUCCUACAUAGUAAGUCUAGACCAUAUUUUUCGGAUGUAAGUCUAUUUGCUACUUACUAUAUUUAUAUUUUGUUAAUUAUUUUGGGAAACUGGACAAAAUAGGGUAAGCAUCGUAUGAUACUUAAAACUGCUGAGAAAGAAAUAAUGUUAUUAUUCUACCUUGAUUUUAUAGCUGAGGAAAAUAAGGCAUAAAGAAGUGAAAUAAUGUUUAACCAAUAUUACAUAUUUUAUCAGGGUGCUGGGAACUUAAUUUCUUUGAUUUAUUUCCUGUAGCCAUACCCAUCAUAGUUUUGCUAACAGUGUGACUGGGAGUAGUGAGAUAUAAAAUAAAUUUGGGCCUCAGUUUCCUCACCUUUAACCUAAUUUUCUCAAAAAAUUAACAUAGUAAUGUUAAGUAAAGUCGAUAGCGGGGGCUGGUCCAAUGUGGGUACCCAGAAAAUAGAAGCAUCACCCUUCCUUUACCACUUUUCUCCAUGCUUCUUCCCUAAACCCACACACAUUUCUAAAAAAUUCCAAUAUGAUUUUAAAAUAACAUAUACAUUUACUUAAAUCUUUGAAUUUGAAAUUACAUUUCGAAUUUGAAACAACAUUUGAAUUUGAAACAACAUUUUGACAUCUUUUGUUCUAUUGUAAGUCCUAGGGCAGAAAGGAGACGUCUGGGGGCAGGGUGGAGGUUGCUGUGUCUGAAUGUAAAGAGGGAAAGCUGUGUCUGAAUGUAAAGAUUUGUCAUAUGACAAAUCUUAUGAAGGUGAGUAAUUACAAAAGGAUUUAGUGUCUGCGAUGGAGACACUAAUGGCACUGAAGGAAAAAAAUCUCAGUAUAGUGCUGAAAUCUGUAAAGGAGUGGAGCCAUCAAUGGUCUCAGGCAACUGCUGAUUAAUCUAUGAGCAGGGCUUGUUUAGUAAAUAAAUGACCUAGACCAACAUUAACUUCAGCAGUUCGAGCUCUGAACACACAAAUACAGAUCAAAAAAUAGAAACUGUUAGACACGACAGUGAAAGAAUAACAGUGCCUAGAAGGUGUCAAAGCAUAAUAUAUUGAGUAGAUGACUGAUUUGCACUAUAAGCAAAUGUCAUAACUCAGUAAGUGGAACCAAAUUGGUUUUCUUGAUUCUUAUGUGUGUGUAUCUAUAUAGACAUACAUAUAUUCUCGAUUGGAAAGAGAAGAUGAUUUUUGGUUCUACAAUUCUCACUGCUGACCUGUGGAGAAAGGAUUUUGGAAGAAUUACUGCCCACUGGGUAAUUUCAGGAACAGCAGGCUUUCAUCACAGAACUGGGAUGAAGGAUACGCUUGAGUUCAUUUACCUGGACUUCAGAGGAAUCCCAUCUGGAACUUACCAUGCAGUCUGCUAGUGAAGAGGACUCAAAGUGACAUAGGGGCCAGCCACAGAGUAAGUAAGCAACUGAGUGCCCUAAAGAAGCAUGAAACUCCAAAAGAUUUUUGGAUGCAAGAACAACCUGGGAUCUAAGGCAUAAGGUGAUGGACUAAUACAAACAGGGGAGGAAUCAUGCAAAAUAAUGCAAAUGAGACAUGUGAACAGGAUCAGUUUUCUGCCACCACCAGGGUUCUCUAUGGUGCCUGUGAAGCACCAGUUUUUUUAUGGACUAUAAUCAACAAUAACCAGAAAGUGUAAAAUGUGCAGGACAGGAGGUUCGUUUCUACUCUUCUUGGUUUUAAAACUACUGGGAGCUUAAGUGCUGUAAGUCUUGUAGGAGAGGACCCUGGGUGUCUACCUCAGGUCUUAAAUGUCUGACUUUCUAAGCAAAUUUCUAGAAGUGAAUUAAGACUGUUAUCACUUGAGCAGGGAGAAAAGAAGAAAAAUAUGUUUUCUACUACUUGAUGUACAUAUUUAUUAAAAGGGGGAGGUUUCCUUCCUGCCAUAUCAUGACUUCCGAGACCUUUCCUGAAAAGAAACAGUGAAAACCAUCUUCCCCUCUACCUACUGUGUCCUGGAGGAGGUAAAGUGUCUUAUCUGUAUGAGUGUGGAAGAAGAUAUUAGGUGUGUAUAAACAAUUCAUUUCUUUCUCCUUACUUUUGCAAGUGAACUGUCUGCAAGAAGUGUAUAUUCUGUUGCACCCAUCAUGAUGUACAACUGCCAUAUGUGGAAUCCUACCAGUCAAGUUGUGCUGUGUACAAUUCUGCUAUUUCUGAGGCUUAGUAUUAAGAUGUUAUCAUCCCAAAUAUAACACACUUCUGCUAAUAACAGUUUGGUCAGUAGUAAAGGAAUUAUUUUUGCCUUCUGCCUUAUGUGCUUUAUUUCUUUGUCUUAUAAUUCUUGUCAAUUUAAAGAUUUUAAUUUAUCAGACAUUGAGAUGUAUCUUGAAAUUGAUGACAUGUAAAAGUUUUAUUAGAGGUAUUUUCUUUCUUAGCAAUAAAUAAUAGUUGAUAGUGUCUUCGAUCUAAUGAAAUAUAAUAUAAUUAUAAUUAGUUUAGAAAUAAAGUUGGAGUCAGGAAGUGCAAAUUUUUGUCAUCAUCAGUGCAAUGUCCUGGGGUUAAUAAAAACAUACAGCUUCUGUGAUAGCAAGCAUUCACUUGGAGCCUGGCCACACUUGGAAAUGAGUUUCACAGUCCAGCCAAGAUUGCCAUGUUUUAUAUGAAAUGAUAAUGAAGUGGCUUCACUUUUAAGACUGUAUUCUUAUUGCUUCCAAAUGAACACUGCCUUGUGCCCACCACUCAUUCCCAGGCUUUUAACUCAUAAAAAUGCUGUUUGUACAAAAGAGAGAAAAGGCCCAAGGGCUUCUAAAUGAUGUUGAUAAUAAGAGAUGUCAAUUAUCUUCACAGCACUGAGUGAAAUAUAUUAUCUGUUUAAUGAUCUUUAAUGAUCUUUGCUUAAUCAUAACACAAAGAAUCCAACCUGUAGAUCCAUAACAUCUGGUAGUCUACAAUUUUUUUCUUCUUCUUAAAGUAGAGCUCUCGUUUAAUGAAAUCUGUUCAAACAAUGGGCUUUCAUUUUCUGUGUAUAUUCCUGAAGUGCCUGGAAAAAAACAGAGAGACAUACUUGCCAGGUAAUCCCUUUCUAGGUUUUACUACAUGCUUAGUAGAGACCAGCGAAUGGGUCACAUUCAAGGGGUGAUAAGCAGAGUACCUGAAGUGGUGUCAGGUGUUCAUGGACUUAGCACUGGCUCCUGUAGUAACUGACUCAAAUAUUUACUAAAUCACAUUUCCCCCUGAAAUGUAGUCUUCUCCCCCACUGAAAGGCAUCAGCUGGAUUCGAAUACUAAGAUCCCUUCUUUUGCUCUGCUUCUUUAAACAGCUUUUUUUAAGUGCCCAAAUCAGUAUGCCAAACAGUGGAAGAGAAUAUGUGAGCAAUUAGAAAAAAAAAAAACCUAGAAGAAAGACACUUGUGCAUUUACAAGAAGUUUAAACUGUGGUUGUACCAAAUAUUUAUAUGUGUUAUAAAUCUAAAGUAAUUGAAACAAUAUGAAAUCAGAAAAAAUUGGUGUAUGAUCCCCUAAAAUUAACUGAAUUAUAUUAAAAGAUAAUUAUCCACUUGAUAUGAGAAAGUUUGAGUUAUUCCAUGUAGGUCUUGGACCGAUUUGUUACCUAUUUAUAAACCAAAACAGAUUUGUUACCUACUACUACUACUAGAUAACAAAUAAUACAAAUAGGUAACUGAUUUGUUACCUAUUCUUAUAAAUGAAAACC
rnacentral:lncRNA from 10 species